rnacentral:rRNA from 1 species
CUACGGAGGGUGCAAGCGUUACUCGGAAUCACUGGGCGUAAAGCGCGCGCAGGCGGCUAUUUAAGUUGGAUGUGAAAGCCUACGGCUCAACCGUAGAACUGCAUCCAAAACUAUUUAGCUAGAGUGUGGGAGAGGAAGAUGGAAUUAGUUGUGUAGGGGUAAAAUCCGUAGAGAUAACUAGGAAUACCAAAAGCGAAGGCAAUCUUCUGGAACACUACUGACGCUGAGGCGCGUAAGCGUGGGGAGCAAACAGGAUUAGAUACCCUAGUAGUCC